UCUUUAUAGAAGGGAUAUUAGGUAAAAUCAACUGUUUUGAGCUUUACGUCAUGUUUUAAUGUUAUUCGCUCAUCA